UGCGGCUGGAUCCCCUCCUUUCUAAGGAGCGUGGAAGACGUCCUCGGACGUCAUGCCACCAAUCCUAGGUCAGCCCCGAGCUCCUGAAACACGGCGCUCAGGGAGGCGACUCGAGGAUCGCAGACCGAAUUCCCAAGUGGCUUGCUAUUCAGUUUCCAGGGACCGAGCGAUCGGUUCUUUGAAACCGCUUCCGUGGAAGCGUCGGAACGUAUCAGGCAAGGGCCUAUAGCUCAGUUGGUCUAGAGCGCACGCCUGAUAAGCGUGAGGUCGGUGGUUCAAAUCCACCUAGGCCCACCACUUCCGGCGACGGACGCUUCGUGGGGCUGUAGCUCAAUUGGUAGAGCGCCAGCUUUGCAAGCUGGAUGUCGUCGGUUCGACUCCGAUCAGCUCCACACGUGAAUCCAGCCGGGAACUCGAGUCCCGGCGGCGCGGCGAGGCUGGCCGCACCCGAAGCACUCUGACAACCGAAUACGAAGGGUAAUUAGAGCAUCGCACAGCGAGGUCAGUGGGAUCCGUGACUCCGAAGGGUUUGGAUCUCGACCUCGAAUUUGGCGUCGCUCGAGCCGCAAGGCUCGGGAGGCCUGAGUUCAGGGUGACCAAGCUACUAAGGGCAUGUGGUGGAUGCCUUGGCUCUAGGAGGCGACGAAGGACGUGGGUAGCUGCGAUAAGCCACGGGGAGCCGCUAACCAGGCUUCGAUCCGUGGAUCUCCGAAUGGGGAAACCCGG
rnacentral:misc_RNA from 1 species